AUGUACAUGCCUACAACAUAACAUUAAUGCACCAGAUCCCAUUAGAACUCCAUAGUUAAGCACGCUCAAGAUAGAGUAGUACUGGGUAGAGUAGUAUUGGGAUGGGUGACCACCUGGGAAGUCCUAGUGUUUUACAUG
rnacentral:rRNA from 1 species